GGGUUUAGAAGAUUUCUCUCCAUUGAAUGCUUCGAAUUCUAUUUCUUCCUUAGUUGUUUUAGUCUUGGGGAUUGAUUUUUUGAACCAAGAUGAUUCCGUGAUCUUGGAGAUGGCGAUUCGGGUUUUCGGGUUCGGGUCUAAAAGCUUGGAUAUUAGCCUCCGAGCUUCAGGUGAGAACCAUGGCGGACACUUGAAAUCUCCUCUGUAAAUCUUCUUAUACAUCGCCACCAAGUUAUCAUCUUGAAACGGUAAAAACCCGGCGAGAAGAACGUAUAAAAUCACCCCACAAGACCAAAUAUCCGCCUUGGCUCCGUCGUACCCUUUUUUUCCAAUGACUUCCGGCGCCACAUACGCCGGCGUUCCGCAAGUCGUGUGCAACAACCCGUCUUGUUUCAAAUGUUCCGUGAAAGCGCUGAGUCCGAAAUCGGUGACCUUCAAGUUGCCUUCUUCGUCUAAGAGAAGAUUCUCCGGCUUCAAAUCACGGUGGUAAACGCCGCGGCUGUGGCAGAAAUCGACGGCGGAAACGAGCUGCUGGAAGUAAACCCUGGCAGCGUCUUCCUUGAGACGACCUUUGGCGAUUUUCGAGAAGAGCUCGCCGCCGCGGACGAGCUCCAUGGCGAAGUAAAUCUUGGACUUGCUCGCCAUCACUUCGUGCAGCUCGACGAUGUUGGGGUGUUUCACCAUUUUCAUGACGGAGAUCUCUCGCUUGAUCUGCUCCAUCAUCCCGACUUGGAUCACUUUCUCUUUGCCCACCACUUUCAUGGCGACAUUCUUCCCUGUUUGAAGGUUCUUCGCAUGGUAGACUUUGGCGAAGGUUCCAUGACCCAACAUACGGCCAAGCUCGUAUUUUCCAUGGAGUAAAGAUGGGUUUUCGGUUUUAGCUUUGUCCGCCAUUUUUGAACCGUAAAAGCUCGAGAAAUUAAAAAGAAAAAUAAGAAAAGAAACGGAUACCCUUUGAUCUGAAGUACUGUAUAUUUACAAUAUAAGUGAGAAAUAUAUGUAUAUUUAAAACUGAAAGCCUUCAAACUGAAUCACCCGUCUUCGACGUGUUUUCGGUGACAAUUUCGGCCGCCGAUGGAGCGCUUACGGUGGUAACAAAGCUCAGGCCUUGCCAACGAUGAACGUCUCAUCUCUCUGCAUUCCCCAAGGGGAUUUUUACACUUGUAAAAUUAUAAUGAAAAAAAAAAAAAGCCUUUUGCUGUAAUCUCCAAUAGGCAGAGGAGAUUUGAAGCUUUUUGCUCUUUCUCUUUUGGGAUUCAAUGCUCAAGGGUCCAACUUAUACAAGUUUUCAGAGCCUGGAAUUCCCGUUUUGUCCCUUGUAUUAUGGUCAAAUGUAUAAAUGGUCCUUAUACUAUGUACUUUUUAUGGGCUUAAUCACUCUUUUAUAAUUUGUGUAUUUUUCGGUCAAGAGGUAAUUAGUGUCGGAAAAUACAAAAACAAAAAAGUAUGAGAUUAUAGUAAAAGGACUAAAUGUGCGAAAAUGAUAUAGCAUUUGACCUUGAAUGAUCAUGAUAUGAACAGUAAAAUGGUGACACGUGGGAAGCCUUCCAGCAAUGAUCUGACCGUUUUGUCCUUGUUGACGGUAGGUUCUUAAUAAUUCCGUAUUAGUAAUUCUAUCAAAAUUACAUGUUUACCACUGCCACGUCAAUAAAUAAAUAUUUCAACAUGCGGUUCUCCAUUCAUCCAUUCUAAUAUCAUAAAAUUCAAUCAUUUUAUUUCUUCCAACUAAAGCCAUAUUUUUAAUACCAAAUAUCACAGUCAAAUGGUCAGGUUCUGAGUACACGUGUAAGGUAUUAAAUUUUCCUUUUUCGAUGACUAAAUUGUAAAAAAAUUAAAAAUUAUAGAAAUAAACCGAUUUUUUAAAUAUUUAUAAGAAUAAGCUGAUUUUGGUAGGCGUUUUUAGGGGAAACUUAAAAAAACUCUUUCAGCUAAAAGUAUUUCUACCACAUCAAUAUUAAAAGUGACGACAUUAAUUUUAUUUUAUUUUUGGUGACACCUAUUAAUGUGAAAAUAAAAUUUACAAAACAAGCCUUUAUAUAGACCUAAAGUUUUAUUUCAUUGUUUUCUUAAGCAAUGUGAGAUAUGAGAUAUGUGUUUAUAUAAACUCGUUUGCAAUUUGUUUCUAGACAAUAUAGAAUUGAUUCCUUAAAUUGUGAUAUAUAUAGACAAUUAGACUCAUGAAUAUGUUUAAUCCACCACUUUGCCUAAAUAAUUAUUUUAUUUAAAUCUUCUUUUUUUCACCAAAUUUUUAGUAUCACAAUUCCAAAUCCUAAAAAAUUUGGAAGAGUAUGGCCCCUACUAUCUUUGUGCAUAGAUAAAUCUUGAUUUUUAUUUUCGUCCAUACAUAUUAUUAUUUGUUAAAAUAUAUUGAAGUCCUUGUAUUCUUGAUAAGUUUAGAAUUUAGGCCUUUUAUUUUAUUUCAAAUAAUUUAGUUUAUCUAUUUUUUGAAUUUAAAAAUACAAGUCUAAUUGUUAACAUUAUUAAAAUCAUUUUGUUAAAUUUAUUGGUGUGACUAAAUAAAAAAUUCACAAAUAUUAUAAAAUCUGGAUUAAUGACUAAACUGACUAACCCAUCGAUUUUCGAUUUAAUUGUUCAACAAUAUUUAAAUAAAAAAAUUCAAAUCAGCUCUAGAUUUUGUGACAAGUGUUGAACUCUGAUUUCCAACAGGUAGCUCCAAAUCAUAUUAGAUAAAAGACAAGAUUAAAAGUUGUGCAAGAAAAAGGAAAGAACAUUAUCCUUAAAUCAUAACUCUUUUCAAAGUAAAUUAUAAAUCUUCAAAUUAAAGUGUAGCCCAACUAUUUUAAAUACACAUGUAGAAAAAAAAUUAAAAUUAUUUUUUGAGUAUGUCAAAUAUAGAUUUUAACUAGUAUGCCACAUGGAAAUUAAUAAUUUUAAUUACUCAUUAUAAAAAUAAAAAAAUUUUAAUUAUUUUUUUUAACUUUGUUUCUUUAUUAUAUUAGAUAUAGACUUUAGAUUCACACUUUUCAUAUAAAUCAAUUAUUUUAAAUAUAAUAGUUAAACAUUAAAAAAAGACAUAUAAAUACAAUCACUUUAUGAUUUUUAAGAAUAUAUUUUAAGAAAAAAUCAAUUUACAUAUUGACAACUUAAAUUUCAGAAUCUAUAUGUCUUCAAAAAAAACACAAUUUAUAUUGAACAUAUUCAUGAGUCUAUAUAUCACAAUUUAAGGAAGUAAUCCCACAUUGUCUAGGAACAUGCUACAAACCUAUUCAUGAGUUUAUAUAUACACAUAUCUCAUAUCCCACAUUAUUUAAGAAAACAAGGAAAAUGAGACUUUGAGCCAAUAUAAAAGUCAAUUUUGUAAGUUUUAUUUCCACAUUAAUAGGUGGUGGUGCCACUUUUAGUGUUGAAGUUGGAAGCGUUUUUUUGGGUUUCCCCUGAAAAUUGGAAGUGUUUUACCAAAAUCAGUCCAUUCUUAUAAAUUUUCAAAAAAUCAGCCUAUUUUCGUGAAUUUUUUAAAAAUGAUUUUUUUUGUUUUAAUUUAGUCCAUAUUAAAUGAAGAAAAUAUUAAUUCAACAUUGUAAUAUUUACGUCAAAUUCGACUCUUACUAGAUUUAAUUUCUAUAUUUUAAUUUGGACAUUUUUAGUUUAUAUACUUUUCAAAUUUUAAAAUUUCAAUCUUACCCAAACAGUAACCGUUAAAUCGGUUAAUUUAAAUUCUACUAUUUCUAAAAUUUUAUACGAGUAUAUUAUCCCAUGUGGAAUCAUAGGUGAAGCUAAGAAUUUUUGAUUGGGGGCUGGAAUAAAAAUAUAAAUUGUUGGGGCUAAAAUUAAAAUUUGUAUGCUAAAAAAUGUUAAAUUGAAUUAUUAUAUUUCAAAAGUGUCCAAAAAAAAGUAAUUUAACUAUUUUAUUCGGGGGGACGAGAGAGACUACUGCUCCUUUGGAUUCACCCCUCUAUGUAAUACUAUAUCAAUUUGUUAUUUUCAUAUAAUAUUCACAAAAACCACGACAUUUAGUUAAUGAAUUUGAUGGUUACUGUUUAAGUCAAAAUUAAAAUUUUAAAAUUCAAAAAAUAUAAAAACUAAAAGUAAUCAAAUUGGAGAAUGUGAACUAAACUCACAACUUACAUGUAAUACAUGGUUAAUAACAAUAUUUGUCUUAAUAAAUUUAGUUGUUACUAUUUAAGUUAAGGUAAACUACAUCACAAGUUACCUAAUUAUGAGCCAUUUUUUUUAGUCACCCAUCUAUGAUUUUUUUUUAAAAAAAUUGGUCACCCAAUUAUGUACUUGUUUUUAAAUGAGUCACCCAACUAAUCAAGAUUGUUCUUUUUGGUCCAUUUCCGUUAAUUGCACUAACAGGAGGGUGACAUGAUAAUUAAAAAAUGAUAUAAUAAUAAAUUUAGCCCUCAAAUUUUACAUAUUAUAUCGAUUUAGUCAUAAUUUUAAAAAUUUAACCCUCAAAAUUUACAAAUGCUCUCAAUUUGAUCCUAAUUCUAAAAUUUUUAAAGAAAUAUAUAAAAAUACAACAAUAAUUUCAAAAAAAUAAAAAAAUGAUUGUUGACUGGAAGUAAUAAUAUAUAAAAUUUAAAAUAUAUAAAACGCAUAAUUUUUUUAAAAUAUAAAAAUUAAAAUAAAUUUUAUAUUAAUAUUAAAUAAAAAUAAAUUUAAUACUAAUAUUAAAUAAAAAUAAUGAUUUUAAAUAUAUUAUUAUAUUUUUGUGAAAACAUUUAUGUAUUUUUAUAUAUUUCUUUAAUUUUUUUAGAAUUAGGAUCAAAUUAAGACUAUUUGUAAAUUUUGAGGGUUAUUUUUUUUAAAAUUAUGACUAAAUCGAUAUAAUAUGUAAAAAUUGAGGGAUAAAUUUAUUAUUAUACCGCUUUUUCGACUACCACAUCACUCUCAUGUUAGUCCAUUAACAAAAAUGUACCGAUCUUGAUUAACUGGUGACCAAUUUAAAAGAAUUCAUAGUUAAAUGGAAAAAAAAUCAGAAUUGGAUGAUAAAAGAAAAUGUACUAUACUUAGGUAAGUUGUAUUAUAGUUUACUAUUGAGAUAUUUAAAACUCAAAAGAUUUAAUAAAUGAAGUUAUUUCCUUUUAGAAAUAUAAUAUUCUUUCGCAUAUUCUUUAUUUUUGACUCAAGGUUUUGUUAGUAUACAAUUAAUGGCAAAAUAUAGGCAUCACAUGGCAUACUAUUUAAUAUAUUUCUUUUACAAACAACCAUGCCAUGCAUGGAUGGUGGAGUAACAAGCAAUUUCAUCACAUUUCCAAUAUAUAUUUUUUGUUUAUCAACCUUCACAUGCAUAUUAUAUCUAUAUCAACCAAUUUAAUUGGAUAAUGAGGACAAAUAUCUCUAUUUUAUAAAAUAUAUUGUAUUGUUUUGAGGGUGUUUUUGUUAUUUUAUUUAUUUUUAUAUAAAAAAUAUAUACAAAAUAUGGAUGUUGAAGGGAGCCGGCUCCUUCCAAAGUAGCCUUUGAAGUGUUGUUUGUCAAGAGCCAACGAAUCUCUCAACAAAUCGGAUAUUGUCCUCGAAGAUGGGUUUUAUCUAUUGAUUCCAUUCAGAGCUAUGCGCAGUUCAUGAACUGGGAGCGCGUCAUUAGAUGCCUAAUAAAGUAGAUCGUAUGUAUGCACAAAGUCACUAAAGUUAACCAAGACAAAUCGAGAAAUUGCAAACUAGUCUGAACCAAAGUGUUUGGGCUAUUAAUAGAAUAAAAAUUUAAAAACAGUGAUUACGCAAUUGAACUAAAUUCUAUUUAUAUUUAAUUUAUAAUUCAUUUUAAUCUUUUAUUAUAUAAAAUAAAUAUUUUAUAUUUAAAAUAGUGUAUUAAUUUAAGAGUUCUAAGAUUAUCUAAUUAAUUGUCAAUGCAGCUUGGGCGAAGAUCUUGUACUUUAAAAAUCUUAGUUCGAGUCUCAUUUUACAUAAAUUAUAUAUGGGUUUUCUACCUUUAUCCAGACUUAAAUCAAAGAAAUUCAAGCUGGAUUGGGGCAAGCUUAAUUAUCUUUAGCAUCCAUUCGGGUAGUGGAAGGGUUAAAAUUUGGUCGCCGGACCGGACCAGACCAGAUCACCCACGUAAUUGCAAUUAUUUGGUAUAAUUUUUCUGAUUAUUUACCGCAAAAAAACAAUCAUAUAAAAUAAUAAUAUCCUUAGAUCUAAUUAGCUUUGAGCUUCGAGAGAGUUUAUGAGUCAUUUGAAAAAUAAGUAAUUUUUAAUAUUUGAUUGAAAUUAGGAUAUUUAGGUAAUGAUUGGUUCUAUUGUGAUGAAUAAUUUUCGAAGAGAUAAAUGAUCGACUAUAAAAUGUGUUCUAUGUCUUUAAAUAGAGAUUGAACUUUCAACCAUAUAAUUAAGAAAUGAUAUAAAUAACUACCACGCUACACCUAAUCGUUAAAUAAUUUUUAAAAUAUUUAUUCACACAUUUUAAAUUCUAAUUCUUGAAUGUAAUCCAUGUGUAAUUAAUUUAAAAUAAUUUAUUUUUGUUUAACUUAUAAUUAAAAAUAUAAAAUAAAAAAAUUUUGAUUCUCUCUUGCUGAUUAACCAACAAACCAAAUGUUAGUGUCAUGGGUGCAGCCUUAGGCAGUUUCUUUGCUCAAAAACGCCUAAGUCAGCUGUAGCGACGUAAAAAUUUUGGUUUCGGUCGCUAAUUGUGGCGAUUUAUUCCUUUCCAUUAAAACGCAGCACAUUGGCGGGGACUAAAUCGAAAAGCACGAGAAAUUAUAGGGCCAAAUUGAAAACCAUAAAAAACUUAAUUGUGAAGCAUCAGAAAAGCGGAAGGACUGCGCGCAUAAAUAUCCCAUUCAAACGAAAACACGCGGAUCUUCUAGCGGGUCGGGUCGGAUGGGUCGGGCAUGGCCAAAACGACGUCGUUUUGGGGCUUAAGUGUAGCCCCCAAAACGACGUCGUUUUGGAGGGCUAUAUAAGGCCUAAAAUAACCCAAAAAAUCAUUUGGGGAGAGGGAAAGAAAAAAAAGAAGAGAGAGGGAAGAGAGAAGGGAGAGAGAAGAGAGGGGAAUCCGGCCAGGGGCCGGUCAUCGGACGGCCACCGGAGGCUCGCCGGCGCCGGCGCCGGCCACCGCACGCGAUGGCCGAAAAAGGUAAAAAAUAUAUAUAUUUUUUUAUUUUUUUCUAUUUUUUUAUGCUUAAUAGUUUUUAUGUUUUGAUAUUUUUAGUAUUUUUAUGUAAAAAACAAACUCAAAACAGUAAAGAAAAAAAAGAAAAAAAAAGUCACCUUAGGUUUUAGAUUUGAUUCUCCGAUUUGGUGUUAGAGCCUCUGAUUGUAUAUGUAUUUUCGAAUGGUUCUUGUAUUUAAUCUGUUAAUAUUGAAAGAAAAUCUUUGUUUUCAUAAAAAAAAUCCCCUUUUACAAAUGUUUAUUUCUCAGCUUUAUAGCCGACUACAAAACUAGGAAAAUAUUGUUUAUCUUUUGUCCCGUUCUGUUUGGUCUGCUUCUGUCUUUGCAGGGUAUGGAGGAGCUGGUGGUGGAGGAGGAGCAUGCGGCGGCAGAUGGUGUCAGACGCGUGGGGGUAUGGGGCUGCUAUAGUGGAGCAGUGUAUGGGGCUAAGUACAAGUGGGGAAGGUUGCGGCUGAGUAGGCUAAGGUUUCUGAAACCCUAAGUCUGGAGUUUGGGCUUCUGGGCCUGGGUCAAGUGUUGGGUUUUGGGUAGUUGGGCUAAGGUUUGGGCUUGUUUUGUUUAAUGGGCUUAUUGGGUUAGGGGUUUUUGGAUUAGGGUAGGUUAGUUAUUGGGUUUUGGGGGUGGCCCAAAAUUGGCCUGUACAUCAGCCUAACUCGCAACGAUAAAGGAUUCAACAAAAUUCCCUCAAGGCACCCACGAAGAACAACAGAAGAACGAAGUAAGAACGAACUUUGAAAGAUGAACAAAAGCCAAAGAAAAGCAAGAACAGGAUCGUUAUUACUGGCCUCACAUAGGUGUUGAUGUGGAAACCUAUGUGAAAACUUGUCUAGUAUGCCAACAAGACAAGGGCGUCGCUAGAAUAAGUGGGGGAGAAUGUCAUGGGUUGCGCAUGGGAGCACGCAACCAUGUCAAACUUGUGCGAUCCAUCGUAUCAAAGAAACUGCCUAAGGCCGCAUGGGAAAACUCUAAGUCCGUGACACUAGUACUAAGAAGACAAAGUCAAUAAAAAUAAGGAAAUGCAAGGAUAAAUUAUCAUUUUGACUCCUCUAUUAUGGGUAGAGUAUAAGAAAGAAUUAUAACGUUACAAACAAAUGUUAAGAUACAAUAAUCAAGAAUAUUAUACUUUUAUAAAAACAAUUUAAUUCAAAUUUUAUUUAAAAGAAGUAAUUAAAAAAAUUAAUUUUUGUACAUCAUAAAUAAUGUUUUUUUUACACAAACUAAUUAUUUUAAGCUAUCAUAAAUGAAAGGUUACUCGCUUCAUCAACCCCAAGGUCGGCUACGAGUUCUUAAGGUGGGUUGACAAACACUUAUACGUUUGUACUCCUCUCUGAAGUCAUCUUAGCAAGACGACCAACAACUUGAUUUCUCUCACUUGAAAUAUGUUUAAUUUGCCAUUGUUCCAUGAUUUGUAAUAUCAGGUGGAUCAUUUUUACUAAAAUUGAGUUUAAUUCAAUCAAGUGUCCGUCUUAAAAACUUUGACGACCUCUGAACUAUCAGUCUAAAAUUUAACAUAAAAAACUGAACUAUUCCCAAAUGAGUGCAUCCAAAGAUCCAUUUUCAAAUUUGGUCGCAUAUCACACCCGAGCAAAAGCAAAACCUAUAUCCAUCUUUAAUCAUUAAAAGAACCACAACCGUAAUUGGAUUAAAAUAAAAUAAAAAUAAAAGGAAGGCUGUUUUUGGUUCAGGUUGUAUUCAAAGGUUUAAUGAUAAUAUUUUUGGGGUCCAUAUCUCGUACGUUUGGUAUGUCUGUCUUUAGUCUCUAUUGUCUUCUAAAGGAAUUGACCCCACUGGCCCCUUCAAAAAUUAAGACAUAAAAUUUCAUAAUAUAAAUUUAAAAUAAUUAUAAUAAUUCAGUGGCAUGUGGCUCAAACUUUCCAAAAGUUUGAGUUUUGUGACAGGGACAGCCGGAAUCCGACAAGCACCUUACUUGAUGCAAUUUGUCUUAAGUUUUGUGAUGUCAUCCCACAAGUAAAAGUUUGAUUUUUUUUAAAAUUAAAUUAGUACUAGGAGAGAUUAUUCCUUUCUUUAACAAUUUAGUUUGAUUUUACUUUAAAUUUACUUAUAACUUAAUAUUCAUAAUCUAUAAUCUAUAAUAUUAUUAAUUUGAUAUUUUAAAAUAAUUAUAACCAAUUUCAAUAAGUUAAAAAGAUAUAUUAAAAUAAAAUUUACGAUAAUUAUUUUAUAGAUUUAGAUUUAUUUAAAUUAUAAUAAAAUAACUAAAAAUGAAUUAGUACACAAUAAUUAUAAUAAAAUAAAAUUGUGAUAAUUAUAACAAAUUUAAACCAAUUAGAAACUCUUUCUAUUUCUCUUUCCUAUAGUUAGGGUUUUUAAUAUUUUUAAGUUUAGGGUUUAAGAUUUUUAAUAUUUUUAAGUUUAAGGUUUUUUAAAAGGAUUUGGGGUUUUUAACUGAAAUUGGGAAAUUUCAAAGGUAGUUUUGAGGAGUUGGGGAUAUGAUAACACAGUUCAUAAUACAUACAUUUCAUAUGUCGUGGUAAGACAUAUCACUCCAGAAACCCAUUUUGGGGAAAUAUGGUUUCGGGGUGAUUGUGCUUGAUAAGAUCAAGGGUCGAAGUCCAAAUGGAGGUCCUAGUUGACGACCAUGAUACGGUCACAGAUUCGAGUAUAACUGAUGGCCAGUUGACAGUCGUUACGCUGUUACAAGUUCAAGCUUUUUGGAUACCCCGCAAAUGAUGCCUUAUGUAUACCAUACAUAAGAUUGAGGUCAUAAUCAUAAGGAAAAAUGGAGAGAUUUUCAAUGUAAACAACGUAAUUUUUUUCUCUAUUUCCUCACAGCUGGUAUCUUUAACAUUUCAUUCUUAUCCGAAGGCUAACAUUAAGGUAAACACAAGAGGACUCUCAAAGGAGAGCAGAUGUUUCGACGGAAGUAGAGGUCAAACUCAGGUCAGCAUGAAAGCGGUUGUAGUUAUUAAUGAUUUGUUUAAUAACGACAAUUACUGUCAGCUUGAAAGGAACAUCACGUUUACUCCACUAAAAUAGUCACUCCCUGCCUGAUAGUCCUCCUUCGUCGACGACGGUGUUGGCUUUUGAAUAAGAAGUAAGGUUAAAGGUAUCAGUUACUUGGAAAUUGAGAAAAAAAUUAUGCCGAUUAUAGCAGGAAUGCCUACAAUUUUUCCCUAUGAUUAUGCCUUUAAACUUUCAUAUGUUAUUUAUAAGUUAACAUUUUUGGGUAUCCGAAAACUUUGAGCUCAUGGCCGUGUAACAAUCAUCAACUGGCUCCCCCGUUAUACCUCAAUCCAUGAUUGCAUAAUGGCCAUCGAUUGAGACCUCCACGUAUACUACCACUCGGGAACCCGACUUCCCUAGUAUAAGCUUCGGGGUAAUGGUCCCAUCUCGGCGUGAUAUAUGAAAUGUGUGUGGCUCGAAGUGAUAUCGCGUCACUGACGAAUCAAUAAUACCUUGAACAUCAACCAAAAAUUUUUAUCGACAAAAUUUUUUUACACCGAGAAGUGUUUACUAGAAGAGGGAUGGAGAAGUUGUGGGAGAAGAUUUUUGAGGGACGAUGAAGUAUGAAGUGGAAGACUUCUUUUUAUAGCUAUGAGGGAAGGGUUGGAUUCCAAAGUAGAAAUUUUUCGUAGUCAAAAACACACUGCAAGACUAGCGUCUUCUAGGAAUAUAUUCUAAACUUGCCUAAAAAAUUGAUGCUCGUUGGAAGAAAAAGGGCAUGUGCUUUUGAAGAAAAUGGUUAAAGAAAGCACGCACAACUGGGCGUGCUUUCUUUAACAAUUUUUCAGUUGAAAAUUAAAAGCAGACGAUACCAAGGAAUAUUUUUGUAUAAUUGAUGUACGUUUCGAGGUGUCAAACAUUAUUAGGGGCACUAUUUAAAUAAAAUAUUAUAAUUUCAAGAACGCGCUUUCGAAUAAUACUUUGCACUUCAUCAUCAUUGUUCAACAACAUGUAUUCAUAAACAGAUAUUGAUGCACAUAUUCCCUCUCUCGCUGGCUUAUUUUCCUAUUAAAGGCAUGUAAUUUGCAUAACUUUGAGACACAUCAAAUUAAUAUAAGAAAUUAAAUUGUUGCGUCGCGAAACUCAUGUGUACUUCUGACAAGCCUCUACUUUUUUUUGGUAUUGUUAAUCCAAUUCGUGAUCGAUAUUGAAAUGAGUCGAUGAGUGAAAUUCGUUAUCUACUUUGAUGGUCAGCUUUAUAAUACAAAGGUCGAUGUGGUAUUUGUAGGAGCACAGCCCAUGGAAUUAACGUUCAAUCGUGGCAUUCAACUGCGUGAGCUACGGACUAGAAUCAAGAGGAAAGUUGUAGGUUUAACUCGGGGAAAAAUUUUGAGGUUGCAAUGUAGAUACCUUGCUAUAGUUGACCCCUAUAAGUAUGACCUAUUUGAUAUGAAUAUGACAUAUUUGAUGUGAAUGGCGAGCUCUAGCUCGAGACGAUCAUAUCAUUGUACGUCUCAAGCAGAAAUGUUGUAAUUGGUUUAUACGUCGAGUUUACCGAUGUUUAUGGUUCUGGCCCAUCUUCGACCAUCAUUGUUGUGAAUGUUGGAAUUGAGGCCGAAGUAGAAAGUCCCACAACAUGGUUGUAUGGUGGGUUCGCUGACUUGUUACAAAGCUCUUAUUAUGAUGUCCCUGAAAUAUCUACUAGAAGCACUUGUCGGUCUCCAGCAUAGAUCUAAACUUCGAGAGCUAGUACUAGUCAGGGUAUGAGCAUAACCCUAAUCUUGACAUUCGAGCUCGACUUUUAAUUAGUGUGUUUGAUUUCAACUUCUGUAUGGGUUCAAUGUCAUGAGCCAAAAGCACAAAUACCGGGUGUUCAUCAAUGUACACCAGAUACCAAACCGGUGUAAAUUUUGGCGAGCACAUAGGUUAUAGAAGAACCGUUGACUUACUCUUUUCCAUGGGGACUGGCGAGGGUACAUUGAACCCCUUACUAGAAAGGGACAAUGGAGGUGUAGAUGAGGAAAAAGAUGCGAUCGAGGAAGAAGAUGUGGUCGAGGAAGAAUAUGCAAGUGAGGAACAAGUAACAACGGAUGCAUUUGACUGGAAGGAGUCAAACCCUGAGCCAAUCCGAUAGUAUGGACCAGAUGGUUUGAGGUGGCAUUAUCUUUUGAACUGGAGUCAGUUUCAACAGAGCUAGAAUCUUACGGGUCUGAUGGUGACGACUCAGACAAUGUUCUGGAUCCAGAUUCGCGAUAUAGGGCAUAUGAACCUCUGCCCCACAACCAAAAUUAUCGUAUCAACCGAGGGUAGUUUAGAGUUUUCAUGUCUACUGCACAGAACACCUGACCAUGCAAGCACAUCGCAUGACAUAAAUGUACUAGAAGUUGGUAUGGAAUACCUAAAGAAAUAUGUUUUUUUUGCUACACUAAAGUGGUACAGCCUCAAGAAUGGUGUCAAAUACCAUGUCAUGUAGUCCUAUUCCGAUAAAUUCGAGGAAAAAUAUGCAAUUCGCAACGAGAGGUGCAAGUGGAAAAUCAUGGCAUCUUUACGGAAGAAGACCGAGCUGUGGAUGAUAAAGAAGUAUUCUGGUCUACAUACCUCUGUUGCGGCAGGUGCAAGUCAGUAUUAUCCAAUGCUAGAUUUUGACAUUAUUCUACCGAUGAUGAAGGCGAGUCUUAGGAUUCCUGUCCUGGUGUUGCUUGCGAACAUCCAUAGCUAGUUUAAUUACACUCUAUUGUACUAGAAAGUGUAGGUUAGAAAAUAGAAGGCUAUGAAUAAGUUGCAUCAUGGUUGGGAUAGUUUGUACAACUAUCUUUGGCAAUGGUGUCAGGUGUUGGAUCGAUAUAUUCUAGAUUCCAUAACUGAUCUAAAAAUGCAUCUAGCGUACUUUGGCGAUCGAUUGGUCCUUGGGAAAAGAGUAUUCAGUCAAUUAUUUUGGACUUUUAAAUAAUGUAGAAAAGCUUUUCAGUUUUUGGCACUGCAAGUCUUUGCUGCAAAUUGAUAGUACUCGAUUGUACGGAAGGCAUGAGCAUCAGUUGUUGAUUGUUGUUGCUCAAACAGUAAUAAAAGGAUUCUGCCAGUUGCAUUAGUAAUAACUCCAAAAGAAAAGGUAGAUGACUGAGAUUUUUUCCUAAGCAGGUUACGCCGUUGCAUUUACACCUAGUCUGACAUAUGUGUCAUAUCAGACAAGGGAACCGAAAUCCUGUCCACUAUUGACUACCAUGGUAGCAUUUGGUAUCGCACCCAUUACAAGUACUGCAUACGACAUGUUAGAUCCAACUAUCACUCAAAAUAGCCUUCGAAAAGUGAGCGAGAUGCAGUCAUCGAUAUAGGUAUGUAAAUGGCACUAUCUACAUAGUUAUGUUGUACCCUAUUUCUUUCAUUGUUUGCAUUAAUGGGUGUGUUUUUCUUAAUAGGUUAUGAGUUCGUCCAACAUUAUUUCAUGAAAUAUUGAACAACUUAGGCGCCAUCAACAGCUAUAGUGCGACAUACCUCGCCAACAUACCUUUCGAACAGUAGACGCAAUCGUAUGACGGGCGUUUAGGGUAUAGGUACAUGACGUCAAACUUAGCAGAGUGUAUCAAUUUUGUAUUAAAGGGGACAUGUCAUUUGCCGAUAAUCUCGAUUGUGAAAGAAACAUACUUUCACCGAGCUGUGUUAUUUCUAAAGAGGAGGGCGACAUACGCUGGACAGAUAGCGGGCGACCAUACUUGUUGUGAGGAUGUAAUGAAAGAAGUCAGAUGAAAUACGGUAAGAGCGAAAAAUAUGUAUUUAGUGUGCCACUCGCAUCGGAACCUAAAAUUUUGAGUCAUGGAGCACGCUAGGCCUGGAAUUUCAAAUUAGAACAUGUCAGAGGCAUCAUUUCAUGCUGACCUAAUAGGAGAGACUUGCGAUUAUGGGAGGUUCCAAGCUCUUCAAUUCUCAUGCGCACAUGUAAUUGCUACAUGUGGAAACCUAAGAAUUUAGUACACGCCUUACAUCAACAAUGCGUAUAGUCUAAAACACAUAUAUAGAGUAUGGCGUCCUAAAUUCUAACCCGUCCCAGAUGAGAGUAUGUGGUCACCAAUGUCCAGCGUGCUGCUCGAGUUGGCACCGAACAUGAACCUGCAUCAUGUCAAUAGAGGUUAUCUGAAUACCACCUGGAUACAGAACUAGGAUAUUCAGGAGAGAGACAGUCAAUAUAGGCUUUAUGGGUAUUGUAGAAACCCAAGGCAUACGAAAGCAACAUGUUCUGUGUUGAGGGGUACUUUGAGACCUCAACGUUGAUAGCAAUAUUUUUGGGAAAAGUAUAUAUUCAUUAUGGUGCUUCCAUUAUUCUACUGUUCAAAAUUUUUUAUUUAUUAUUAACUUACGCAUAUAUCAUAUUAGAAUGUAAUGAAGACAAAUAUAGUGUUGAAAUGAAAAUCUAUGGUUCAUUUAUUUAUGUCAUAUAUAUUUACUUUGCAGUAAUAAUAAUACAUCAAUCGCAUCGUGGGGGAUAAUAUGCGCCACAAGGCGGUGGACGAUGCUCGCGAGAAGGAUUUCUGUGCACAAUUAAAAAUGCUCAAAUCCAAUGUCGUCUUGACCUCCCAUCAUGUAUCCUUCACUCCAUUGAUUGUCGGUUGUGUCGAUGGCCCACCCUGAUAAAAUAAUGAUACAAACGAUGUUUUUGUCACUAUCGGCGUGUAACAGUAAGGCACAACAAAAUACAGAUACAUCGGCAUUGACUUAGGCAUCGACAAUGACAUCGACAUCUACAUCGGUGUUGUCAUCGCUGAUGGUGCAUGCAUCGACAUCUGGCUUAACAUUUGGGUCAGCAUUGACAUCGACAUCAAGAUGUAGAAUGUGGGGGACGUUGGUGGCUCGAAAUAUUUACCUACGAGAAUAGAAGAAUUGGGUACGUACGAUGGUGGUGCUGAUAGCAUGUUUAUUUUGUAUGUUUUACGUGUUUAAAUAAAUUGAUUCUUGAAUCAAUUCUUGUUAAAUUGGUGAUUUUAUGCUUAAGUUAUGUCAAGAACAUAAUUCAGAUGCUUUAAAUAAAAAACAAGAAAAAAAGGACUAAACUAGAGCACAAGCAAUAAAAGAGGGGCUGAAUCAGAUAUUUUGAGACAUUUAAGGAUUGAUCAGAGUAAAAGCCAUAUUUGGAAAAAAAAUCUUAUAUGAAUUUGAUUUCAUGUAAUUGGUUGUUAGGUAAGUUAGGCUAAUUUUAAUAUAUGAUAAUAUGAGACCUUUGAAAUACAAAAAAUGCACAUUGUAUAAAUAGGAUGGUAUUCAGAUGACCUCUUGGGAUAGUACAGAUUCAUCGAUAAACUAUAUAUAUAAAUAGGAUGGGUGGUGACCUUUGAAAAACAGACUAGAAUACACGAGGAAAUUGAAUAUAAUUUAUCUUCUUUCUUUUCUUUCUCUCGUCAAAACUAGUGCAGGCAUUCUGCCAUUUUACUUUUUUUUUUCUCAUUUCUUUAUUUAUUAGCUUAAUUGCUUCCCAAGUCCCUUCACUUUCCACCUUCUACCAUUUCCAUUAAAUCCAUUUACAUAUACCAACUAGCACGAUUAAGCUUAUGCUUAACUAAUUCCCUUUUAGCUAUAGUCUGGUUAUUACUUCGACAAAACAAUUGUGAGAUAUGAACUCGCAGUAAAAAAUUUUUAAUACGGUAUUCGCUAUCUCUCCGGAAUAUGGGAUAGUACAAAUUCAUCCUGUAAAGUUAAUUCAAUUUCAAUUCAAAAAGUGCACGUUGGGUUGGAGUUGUCUGGCGUAUAGUUGGAAAGCCAAGUCGACCGUGCUGUAUUCUAAUUCCCGUGAACAAAUUGGCAUGCCCAGAUGGGAAAAUGUCAGUUGGAUCCCGUCAAGGGAGAUAGUGGUCAGAUUUAAACGACCCAUGAGGUUGAGGCCGUUGAUCCUAGUUGGAGUGUACUGAAACUGAGACUGGGGCUAAGCUUUAAUAUUAUUAGUUCACCGAUUUAAUUUAAUUUAUUUAAUUUUAUUUUGCUACCAUAAUUCUUGUUUUAUUGUAUUAGAUUAUAUUAUAUUAUUUUAUCUAUCAACUAAAUCUCCCUAUUUUGUUUAUUUUACAGUUUUACACACAUAGGACGAGGGCACAACAGUUGCAUAGACUUAGAAAUCUCGUCAUGAAAAUAGGAAAAUUAGGAGUCUUAGUCCCUUUGGGAUCGACCCUAUUACUCUAUACUACUAUUUAAUUAAGUAAGAGUGUAGGAAUUUAUAUUUCGUGGAUUCGACAUCCAUCAAAUUUUGAUGCCAUUGUUGGAAAUAUUUUUUUUCUAGUUUUCGUUUGUUUUCUUUAUGUCCAGGUCAGAACUGAGGACUUUAGAAUUUGAACCAAAAAUAGAGAAGUUGGCUUGGACACUGUAAAGAGAUGCUAUUCGACACAGUAAACGGUCACAACCCGAGUUCGAAACAAGAUUUUAUACCGAACAUAUUUUCCCAUUCAAUAAACCAAACGAAAUGGUAGGUCAAACUAAACGCCAACUCACAGUAGCACCAGAUGAAUAAUAACCACUAUGCAUAACUUAUCUGGCGGAAGGAACGCCGUUCGAGUUGAAAUCAAGAUUAAUUCAUUUAUUGCCCAUCUUCCGUAGAUUGUAAAAUAAAAAUCUGCAUACCCAUCUUAAAGAAUUUCACAUAGUUUGCACAAGCAUGAAACCUCAGGGAGUGACUGAAGGUCAAAUUAAACUUUAUUUUUUUCUUUCUCGUUGCCGACUCUGCUGGAAAGUAAUUAUUUUAUUUACCUCCUGAUGUAGUUAAUACAAGUUUGGUAUGUCUUAUUUAUUUCUUAACAGAUUUUUCCCAGCAGCUCGAACAGCCGAAUUGAUUAAAUGCUAAAAUUACAUGUUUUAUGUAAUUAAAUUGGUUAAUUUAUGAGAGUGUACCAUUGAUUUUUCCAUGUUUAUAUUGAAUUUUAUGCAGAGGUGUAAUUUGGGGUUAAAUAGAAGAUAAAUGAAAUAAUUGGGCUAGAUUGAAGAAAAGAGCAAAGAAGGUGGGCCAAAGCAGAAUUUUUCCAAGAUGUAAUUAGCUGAAAUUUUAUGUUGACUUAGUGGGAGAUUAUGUAGGGAUUUCUAUAUCAUGAAAAAUUUUAUUUCCUUGAUUUUCUAUGGCUAGUGGCUCUUAAUUUAGCAAAGCCACUAGUAUAAAUAGGGGUUACUAUGUUCAUUCAUUCAUCAAGUCAUUAAUCAAGUUUUUAAUUACCAAGUUUUUUUUAUUAAGUUUUGCAUCAGGUUCUUUUUAAACUUUUCAUCAAGUGUUUUUAAUCAAGCUUUCAUCUUCUGAAAUAUAAUAUUUCCUUUCGUCUUUAUUUGCUAGCAUUAGUUCCUUAUUUUCUCUUUCAUUAUUUAAUUUUCAGCUUUAGAAAUACUGCACCCAAACCUUGCGUCACCCACAUCCAUCUACUUUCAUUUCUUUUAUUCAACCCUCUCCAAAUAUGCCCAACUCCAACAUGCCUCAAACUUUAGCCAACUAAACCCCUUUCAGUUUUAGGUCGGUGUUAACCCUGUCAAAGACUCGUGAGUUAUGAACCCAAGCAAUUUAACUCCUAAUUUUUAGUAUUUAUUAUUUCUCCAGAUUAAGAGUAUGACUUUGUUAACUCACAAAGUCAAAUCAACACUAAGUCAAAAAAGACGUCGUUUGAGUUAGUGUGGUUAGACGUACAGUUGGAAUUCUGAAAGGAUCGAUUGUCUAAUUGGUUUUCCGUAAACACAUUGGCGUGCCAAGUGGGGAUUGCUGUUUGGUUCCGUCAAGGGAAGUAGUAACCGAAUUUAAAUGUCCCACGCGAUUGAGGGCAUUGGUUCGAGCUAGGCUCUUCUAGAACGCAAAGCUGCUGGAGUUCUAAAUCAUGAACGUUUCGUAGGUUGAUCGUUCGGUAAGGGUUAGUUAUUGGACGUUCCAUAACUAAUUUACACAAGGAAGAGUUGGUGUCUAAGGCGUCCUUGGUAGCUAUAACUAGCUUAUUGGAAAAGAAGAGUUCAUCUAAUUUCGAAGAUCAGUUCAAAGACGAGGAAAAACCCUUGCCUGAAGUUGAGCUAAGUUUAACUAAUUUUUCUUCAGAUUUAUUUAACUAUUUUUAUUAUUUUAUUUUAAGCUUUUACUUUUUACGCAUUUUUAUUUAUUUAUUUCAAGUUUCAAAUUUUAUCCCUUCGAACUUCUUGGGCACAACAAUUGCCCAGACAUGAAUCUAGUUGAGAAAGAGCAACAAUUUUACGUGAACCCAGUCUCUGAGGGAUCGACCCUACUCCCUAUACUGCUUAAAUUGCAAAUUAGGCAUAGAUUUAUAUUGGUAAACUCGACAACCAUUACGAAUUAAUGAGAGACAUUGUAGAAAUUCAAAAAAUUUGGUACAUGUUCUUAGAGGUUAUAAUUGGGUGAUCGGAUGGACGAUUGUCGACAUUAAAGGUUUGAGUUGUUUGACUUGUAUGCACAAAAUUCCAGUAGCAGAGAAUGUGAUUCCCAAAAGAGAAACUCAAAGACGUCUCAAUCCGCCAAUGAUGGAAGUAGUAAGGAAAGAAAUUUAGAUAUUACUUGACACCGGGAUGAUCUAUCCCAUAUCUGACAGUAAUUAGGUUAACCCAGUUCAUGUAGUGCCAAAAAAGAUCGAUAUAACUGUAAUUGAAAAUUCGUUAGGUGAGAUAGUUCCCACUCAGAUCCAAAACGGGUGGAGAGUCUGCCUAGAUUAUAUGAAGGUGAAUUCUUCAACUUGAAAAAACCACUUUCCACUUCCUUUUAUUGACCAAAUGCUAGAACAUUUAACUGGUAAGUCUUGCUAUUACUGUUUUGAUGAUUAUUUAGGUUUUUUUUCUAGAUGUUAGUGGAACCGGAGGACUAAGAGAAGACGAUGUUUAUGUGUCUCUUUGGCACAUUCGCCUAUAGGUGAAUGCCGUUUGGACUAUGCAAUGCACUAGCCACGUUCCAAAUGUGUAUUGUAAGUAUAUUUUCCAACUAUGUCGAGAAAAUAAUUGAGGUAUUUAUGGAUGACUUUACUAUGUAUGGUAAAUCUUUUUAUACAUUUCUAUCAAAUCUUGCCUAAAUUUUUAGAAAGGUGCCUAGAAUUUAACAUUGUUCUAAAUUAUGAGAAAUGUCAUUUUGUGGUUGACAAAUGAUUAGUUUUAGGCCAUAUUAUUUCUGCUGAAAGAAUUUCAGUUGAUAAGGCAAAAAUUGAUGUUAUUAACUCUAUUUCAUACCCCACAACUGCGAGGGAGAUCCAUUCUUUUCUUGGUCAUGUAGGUUUUUACAAAGAUUCAUUAAAGAUUUUUCAAAUAUUGCACAACCACUUUGUAACCUCUUACAGAAAGACAAAGAAUUUGAGUUUGAUUAAUCAUGCAAGGAUGCGUUUGACACACUCAAACACAAACUAAUUUUGGCACCUAAAGUAUAGUCACCAAAUUGGAACUAUCCUUUCGAAAUCAUGUGUGACACAAGUGACCACAAUAUAGGAGUGGUCCUUGGGAAAAGAAUCAAGAAGGAAUUGCAUGUUAUCUCUUAUGCAUCUAAGAACUUGGAUGUCCCCCAAAGUAACUAUUCGACCAUUGAAAAAGAAUUUUUAACUAAAGUCUUUGCUUUGGAAAAGUUUUGAUCAUAUUUAUUAGGAACUAAAAUUGUUGUUUUCUCUGACCAUGUAGCUAUUAUUAGAUUGAUUUUAUCGGAAAAAAAUAAGCAAAGCCAAGACUUAUUAGAUUGAUUUUGCUUUUGCAAUAAUUCGAUCUCGAGAUUAAGGAUAAGAAAAGAUGCAAGAAUUUGGUAGCUGACCAUUUGAGCCAAAUACCCCUAUCAAAAGAUGUCACUCCUUUUAAAGACGGUUUCCCAGACAAAAAUUUACUUUUUACACAAACAAUUUUUCCUUAGUACGCGGAUAUGGUAAACUAACUUUCUACAUGCAUCAUUUCUUUUAAUUUAUCACGAUCUGAAAAGGAUAAGAUUAAAAGAGAAUCGCGAUAUUAUGUUUGAGAUAACCUCUACUUUUGGAAAUGUUGUUCUGAUCAAGUAAUUUGAUGAUGCGUUGGAGAAACUGAGAUAAAAUCAAUUUUAGCUUUUUGUCAUUCUUACGUAUAUGGUGGACAUUUUGGCCCUAAAUGAACUACACAUAAGAUACUUGAAUGUGGAUUAUUUUGGCCACAUUUUUUCGUGAUGCGUAUUUAUUUUGUAAAACUUGUGAAAGAUGUCAAAAGGUAGGAAAUUUGAGCUGAAAGAAUGAAAUGCCUCUAACACCUAUACAUGUAUGUGACAUUUUUUAUAUCUAUGGCAUCAAUUUUAUGGGACCUUUUGUUUUAUUGUUUAGUAACAUUUAUAUUUUUCUUGCUGUUGACUAUGUGUCUAAAUGGGUGGAAACUAGAGUUGCCCGUCGUGAUGAUGCUAAAACUGUAGUAGGAUUUCUAAAAAAAAUUAUUUUUUCCAAAUUUGGAACACCAAAAGCGUUGAUGAGUGAUUGGGGAACGCACUUCUACAAUAAGGUAAUCGACGUGGUUUGAAAAAAAUAUAGGGUAAUACAACAAGUUGCUAUGGCUUAUCACCCUCAAUCAAACGGUCAAGCGAAAGUGUCAAAUCAAGAAAUAAAAUUGAUUUUGGAAAAGACUGUUAUGACAGAUAGGAAAGAUUGGAGUUUGAAACUAAAUGAUGCAUUGUCGGCAUACUACACAGCUUAUAAGGGACACAUAAGUAUGUCUCCUUACCGACUUAUAUUUGGAAAACCAUAUCAUCUUCCUAUAGAAUUAGAACACAAGGCAAUUUGGGUUGUUAAGCAAUACAACAUGGAGCUAGAUGUUGCAGGUAAGUAUCAAAAAUUACAUAUUCAGGAACUUGAGGAAAUUCGAUGAGAAGCAUACGAAAAUACCCAAAUUUAUAAAGAUAAAAUCAAGGCAUUCCAUGAUCAAAAGAUAACUCAUCAACUUUUUUUAAUGGGCAGAAAAUACUACUUUAUGACCCUACACUAAGAAUUUUUAGAGGUAAACUUUGAAUUAAAUGGUUAGGGCCUUUUGUUAUUUUUACAUAUUUCCGCAUGGUGCAGUCAAAAUUAGAAGUGAAGAAUCUGGAAAAAUCUUCAAAGUCAAUGGACAGUGUUUGUAGCCUUUCUACGAAAAUUUUCAAGUGCGCAUGGUCGAGGAGUUAAUACUUGAAGAGCCGAUUGAAUAAACUUUCAAGUCGUCAAGCUAACAACGUUAAACAAUAGCGCUUUUUGGAAGGCAACCCAUAUUUAUAUUAAUUUAUUUAAUUUUGAAUUUCAAUUUAAUUUAGGUUAAAAAUAAAAUAAAUAAUAACAAGAUUAUUAUUUAAUCCAUUUUAAUGUGUAAUUCUCGAGGAACAUUGGUAUAGGCUGUAAUUUUUCCUCCCGAAGAACGAAUUCUGCUCGUGACAUGGCAUGGCCACGCUUUGUGCUGCCAUUUCUCUUUAUAACCUACAAAUAAAAACCCAAAAUCAGCCCAACACCCCACACCCAAAACAAGCCCAACACCUCACACCCAAAACAAGCCCAACACCUCACACCCAAAUAGAAAAAAAGAGGGAAGGAAAAAAGAAAGGACUGAAUGGCUAAAUGUGGCCCAACUAUAAAAAAUAAGAACCCCCCCAAAAAGAGUACCCCAAGCUCAUAAUCCCACCAUUCUUCUCCCUUUCUUCUUCUUCCUUUACUCAUAACAAAAACCCUAACUUCAUCAUCACCCUCACGCUGCCACCAUCGCCAAAUGUUGCUACCAUCACGGAACAUCGAUUAAUCUUCUCAGUUCCUCACCAACCACCACCACUCACCUCUUCUAUUUUGUUUUCUUUAUUCCACCGUCGAACCCCUGCACCUCCACCAUUAUCGAUAACACUACCACCUACCAAACCCAAAAUCACCAUCGUCCAUAUCACCGAUAUAUCUCUAUCAUAACUCAAAGUGGAUUUCCUUGAAAAUGGAAAAUUUGCCCGCCGGGUUUUAUCAAUUUGCAAAUUCUUCGUCAGUUAGUUAAAAGAAUGAAAUUGGCUGAUAUUAUGACGAUACUAGGUAGCAUAGAUAUCAUUAUGAGAGAAGUGGAUCGUUGAAAUGAUAAUUUAUACGACAGAAGUAGAAGAUAUCAAUUCCUUUUACACAUUGAAUCUUUAAACCAUUCAACCUCUCCUUCUCCUCAAAAACCAGAACUGUCUCAAGCCUGAACAAUUGCUGCUUCGUGCGCUUUUGUUUGAUGAAAAUUGAUUGUUUAAAAAUUUGCUUGUUAAGUAUAUCAUUCUUAGUUGUUUAAUUUUAAAUGUAUUUACUAAUGGCAAAAAAAAAGAAUAAUUAAUUCUACUCCGUUAAGGGCUUAAGCUAUGAGUGAAGAUUUUGGAAAUGUGACCGAAUUUAGUAACCAAAAUGAGGUGCUUGGGUUGUCAUCUCAUUUCACGUAAAAAGGUUUGAGUGAUAAAUCGAAAACUUGCAAACACUCCGCUAACCGAGCUACCAUAAGUAGGGAAAAAUAAUCUGUUUGGAGACGUGUCAGAUUGAGUAACCGAGGUAAGGUGCUUGGGUUAUCAUUUCACUUCGCAUGAAAAUGUUUGACUAUGUCCCAAAUUUACUACAUAAUUAAUUGAGAAUAAAUACCUUGCAAAUUUUGGUUCAAUUUCAAUUUAGUGAAAUGAUCGAAUUUACAUGUUUAAAUUUUGUGGACACUCGUUGAUUAAACUGAGUAUUUGAACACUUAUUCAUUUUUUCACCUAAAUUGUUUGUAUUGAUCAUGGUUACGGAAAAGAGACUUGAUUUCUAAUAAAUUAUUGGAUAGUUUCUAAUGUAGGAACAUACGAUAUGCUUGAGGAGAAACACAGACUAAGUAGGGGAUUUGAUUGCAUGUGCAUUUUGCAUGUUUUACAUGUUUAAAUCAAUUUAUUCUUGAAUAAAUUCCUGGUAAAUUGGUGAUUUUGUGUUUAAAUUCUGUCAGGAACGCAAUUCGGAUGCUUUAAAUAAAAAAACAAGUAAAAAAGGACUAAAUUGGAGCACAAGCAAUAAAAGAGGGGCUGAAUUGGAAAUUUCGAGACAUUUAAAUACUAAUCAAAUUUUUGUCUUUGUAAAAGCCAUAUUUAGAAAAAAAAUCUAAUAUGAAUUUGAUUUCAUGUAAUUGGUUGUUAAGCGAGUUAGGCUAAUUUUAGUAUAUGAAAUAUAUAUAAAUAGGAAGGGUGGUGGUCUUUGAAAAAUAGGCUGAAAUACACGAGGAAAUUGAAUACAAUUUAUCUUCUUUUUUUCGUCAAAACUAGUGCAGGCAUUUUGCUAUUUUACUUUUUUUUUUCAUUUCUUUACUUUUUGGCUGAAUUGCUUCCCAAGUUCCUUCUCUUUCCACCUUAUACCAUUUCUAUUAAAUUUUUUUACGUACACCAACUAGCAUGAUUAAGCUCAUACUUAACUAAUUCCCUUUUAGCUUUAGCCCGGUUAUCGCUCUGACAAAACAAUCGUGAGAUAUGAGCUUAUACUAAAAACUUUUCAACACAAUAUUCACUAUCUCUCUGGAAUAUGGGAUAGUACAAAUUCAUCCAUUAAAGUUAAUUCAAUUUCAAUUCAAAAAGUGCACGUUGGGUUGGAGUUGUUUGGCGUACAAUUGGGAAGUCGAGUAGGCCGUGCUGUAUUCAAAUUCCCGCGAACAAACUGGCGUGUUUAGGUGGGAAAAGGCCAGUUGGAUUUCGUUAAGGGAGAUAGUGAUUGGAUUUAAACGACCCAGAUGGUUGACGCCGUUUAUUUGAGUUAGGUUCUCCAGAACGCAAGGUUGUCGGAGUCUUAAAUUACGAACAUGUAUAUCACAGUUAAAUAAUCGGUAAGGGUUGGUUUUUAGGUCAUACUAGAAUCAACUUCAAAAGGAAAAAUUAGCAGUUGAGACAUUUUUGGUCGCUGUAACCAAUUUAUUGCUUGGAAGGGAAAAUCUAUUUUUCAAGGAUCAGUUCAAGUUUGGAGUGUAUCGAGGCUGAGGCUAAGCUGUAAUAUAAUUAGUUCAAUGAUUUAAUUUAAUUUAAUUCAUUUAAUUAUAUUUUGCUACCAUAAUUCUAUUUUUAUUUUAUUUUAUUAUAUACUUAUUUAUUUUAUUUUCACUAUCAACUAAAUCUCCCCCUUUCAUUUAUUUUACAGUAUUGCACGCAUAGGUCGAGGGUACGACAAUUGCCUAGACUACGAAAUUUGGUCACAAAAAUAGGAAAAUUAAGAGUCUCAAUCCCUGUGGGAUUGAUUCUAUUACUCUAUACUGCUAUUUAAUUAAGUUAAAGUGCAAAAAUUUAUAUUUGGUGGAUUAGACACCCAUCAGGUGCGUAGUACGAUGCUUGUGAAAAAACAUGGGGUUAGUGAAUUGAACAGAGACAAGUAGAGUGCACUAAUCGAAAUAUUGUGUGGGCAUAGAUGGCACUUCCUGGGGUGGAGUCAAUAUGAACCCAUCAUGCAGCUGCAUCUGGCCCUGCGCUACUGCUGGGGCAAUUGCCGUUGCCUCUUCUAACGAAAUUACCUACUGUUCGCCUCCAUAGAUAGCAGAUAUGGCUUGCUGGUGACUCUAAACCACAACAAGUACUCUAAACAGGCCACCGUGUCCACUGAGAAAAAUGGUUUACAGAUGGGUAAGAAUUUCAUCUUACAAUCCCAAGCCUCGAUGCACUCCUUGUGCAUCUCUCACAAAUUUUCUUCGUUCUUCCCACGCAUGUCCACCUUGGGCAAUUCUUUCAAGUCUUGCGGUGGUGGUGGAAUUUGUUACCUCUAACUUAACUGCUGCACCACCUUGUCUAAUUCAUGCAUUUCCACCGUCACGUACACUUUCAACGGUACCUUCAUAUCCCACAUCCUUCAAUUGUCCAAUAGUUCCGAGGGGAUGCAAGGUAUGAUAUUGAUGUCGGCGUAUAACAUCCUUUCAAACUGAAAUGCACAAUUGUAAAUUUCAUUAUGUACGAAAUUUUAUUUUACAAAUCAUUGUGUAAUUAAUUUUAGGUUCGAAAGAAUAAGUAACUAACCUCGGCUUCCAAGCGUUGAUCUAAAAAUAGCCAAAUGUCUUCAGCCUCCUCGGGCAGUCCCACGUAACUCGGCCCAUAAUUCAACCUGUAAAAGUGAUAUGUUAGUUCAAAUAUAUGAUAAAUAACAACAUUUACCGUACAAACUACGAUUUAUUAAUAAAUGAUUUUUACCUUGUCACUAACGGAAACAUGUAUGAGUCGUUGACUCAGGGACGUAGAAAUGGUAGUCACCACUAGGCCCACGACGGCAAUAGUAGCAGGUAACCACCAAUCGACAUCUUAUCUGAUUCUGUGGCCCAACACAACUCCUGGUACAAUGUGGCCAAUAUGGCUAAUUCCCAACUUAGUUUUCUGUGUUCUUUGAAGUCUACUAGGUAUAGUAGCCACAUUGUGUGUACCAAAUUUUAAGAUUUAUCGGGCAUUAAAAUCCUCCUGAUUAACGGAAGGAUGAAUGCUUAGGCGUAUUGUUCUUUGACGACCUCGAUCAUAUCCACAAGAAGCUUAUCAAAUUUUUUUGCCAACCAAUUCAUCAAUAUCUGGCCACCAUCAAACUUGUUCGGGACCUUCCCCAAUAAUGCCGCGCAGAGAUCCUCUUUACCGAAAAUGAUCGCUGCUCCUGUGAUGACCGACCCAUCCCCCGACAAAUCAAAUUGUAAUGCCAUGUCCUCUAGUGUGAUUGUACAGUCGCCGCAUGAAAGAUAGAAAAUGUAACGAGUUGUUUUCAAUGAAAUCGGAACAGUGGUUUCGGGACCACAAAUCUGAGUUCAUAAGAAAAAUUAUUUUAAUAUUAUUUCAUGAUUUGCAUUAUGAUAGGAAUAUCGUAUAAAAAUUUUGUUGGGAAAAUUUUACCGAUUACAUGUUUAAUUGGUAAAAUGACCAAAUUGUAUGAAAUGCAAAAGUUGAGUUCUAGCAGCUAUAAGUAUCAAAUAGCUAUGGAAUUCAAAUUUGAGGUCCUUAUAUGGUAAAUAGACCAUUAAGAGGAGUUAGUAGAUAAGUAUGAUGAUUCAUCCAUGAAAAGUUAAAUAAAGAAAAGAACAAAAUUGGAAAAAUGAAAAAAAGAAGAUAAAUAAUAAAAUAAAAGAAAAUAUCAUCAUUUAUAUCAUCUUUUCCAAAAUUAAAUACAUGGAAACCCUAGCUAAGAGAAGAGAACUCAAGCAACUUAUUUGGCUCAAUUAGGUAUGUUUUCUUGUCCCGUUUUUAAUAAUUUUCAUAUUUCUAAGAUCGUAAUAGCUUAAUUUAGCUAUCUCAGGGAUUAACUUGUAAAUUUAUCAAAGUAUUAAAAUUUUUCCAUGGAUGAAUAUGCAUGAAUCAUGAAAUUUAUGGUAAAAAAUGAAAGGUUGUUGAUAGAUAAACAACUUUUAUAAAGUAAAUUUUGAUGAAAUUGUGAUUUAAAGACUAAAUUGAAAAGAUGUAAAAUUUAUGGAAAAAUUCUGAAUUUUAUGAAUUACAUGGGCUGCAAAUGUUAUAUGUAAAAAUUGGCUAGACUUGGAAUAAGGAUUAAAUUGCAUUAAUUUCAUUUUUCGAGCCUAGGGAUGAAAUUGUAAUUAAAUAAAAGUAUAUGGGAAAAAUGGUAGUUUUACCUACGAUGUGACUUGGAUUAAAUUGAAUAUGAAUUGUAUUAAAUUGAGCUAAAUUUACUCGUAUAGAUCCGAAUAGACCAAAUAUAGAGAUAGAUCGUGGAAAAGAGAAAGUAACGAAUUAGUAGAUUUUGUAUACACGAACAUUGUCAAGGUAAGUUUCAUGUAACUAAAUUGUGUAUAUUUAUAUGUUUGAAUUGAAUGUUGUAUAUGUGAAUUGUAUAAAUUCCAUAUAUAUGAAAUUGAUCACAUAUCCGAUAAUGCCCAAAAAUUAUUAAGUCUUGUUUGAAUAAAUGAAAUUCGAUGAAUAUAGAGUUCCCGAAUUGGUUGUGGUCCUACAUAUGUUGUUGACACACCAAGCUUGAAAGAGCGUCCCGUUAUUAGCUCUCAUGAGCAUUCCGAUAUUUGGCCCUCUUGAGCUUCCCGUUAUAUGGUUCUUACGAGAUUCCUAUUAAUAGCUCUUCGGAGCAUCUCGAUUGGUUGUGAUUCUGCAUGUGUUGUAGACACACCACAACUCUUAUAAGCGUCCUGAUUAAAGGCUCUUUAUGAGAUUUCUGAUUAAUGGCUCUCCGGAGCUUCCCAAUAUUGGCUUGCUUAAACUUCCCGAUAUAUGGUUAUUCGGAGCUUCUUGAUUAAUGGCUCUUCGGAGCUACCCAUUAUUGGCUCGUACGAGCUUCCUGAUUAUGGCUCUUAUGAGCUUCCUGUUAUACAGCCCGGAUAAGCUUCCCAUUACAUGACUCACAUAAGCUUCCCAUUAUUAGGAUCAAGAGACGGCUUCCUAAUUAUGUGCUCUAAGGAGCACUCCCAAAUAUGAAUUGACGGAUUACAGUUUUGUACACUUCGUGUGUACUAUGCGUGUAUCCAUUGAAUAAUGAAUGACUCAACUGGUAAAGUUUUGAUAUGAGAUGAUAUGGAUUCAUGACGAAUUGUUACGGAAAUAUACCUAAAAAACAAGGAUAUGAUAUGUACAUGUUAUAUGGAUUUUUAAUCUGGAAUAUAUAUAUGUAUAUGGAAAUUUGAUUAUUAUUGAGCUCAAACAUGUUUCUUGAUACUCAUAUGAAAUAUGUGACUAACAUGGUUGAUAAGGAUAUAUGUUAGGGCUUUUGGCCAAAUUACUUGAGUAUGCUUUGAAUACUUACCUUAAUUGUAAAUGAAUGGUAAGUUAAUUACCCGUUAUACGAACUUACUAAGCAUAAUAUGCUUACUCUGUUUUAUUUUCCUCUGUCUUAUAGUAAAUCGGAAGCUCGUUGGGUUGGAAGCUUGGUGAAGAUAUCAUCACACUAUCCAUCGGCUCAUCUCGGUAUAUUUAGUAAAUUAACUUUGAUUAUAAUGGCAUGUAUAGGUUAAUUUGACCAUUGAUGGCAUGUAAAUAUUUUGUUGUGAUUAGCCAUUUGAAUGUCUUAUGUUUGACACAUUUUGAUAUAUACAAGUAUAUGGCCUUAUCAUGGUUGAUAUGUGUCUUGGUAUAUAUGAUUGAUGGUUAACUAAUAGGCAAAUUGUAACAUGGUUUGAGUUGGUAUAGUUGGUACAAAUAUGAAUAUAUAUGUAAGUGAUUAAAUUGUUAAGUAUGGAUACUUGGUUAUAUAUGAUGAUAUGAUAUGCAUAAGACUUGGUUUUGGUUUAAUUCAAAUGUUUUAUAUUGGUUUGGGAAUUUGUUUAAGUGUUAAUGUAGGUGGAAGACAAGUUUGGGUAAGAAUAUGGAUAAGAAAUGGUCUUAUUUUGUCCACACGGGCAGAGACAUGGGCGUGUGUCUCAGUCGUGUGUGACACACGGCCUAGCACAAGGAAGUGUGUUUUGGCCGUAUGUCCCCUACAUCUUAAAAAUUUCAAAACAGAAUGCUCAAUAUUAAUCAUGCAGCCUGACACACGGCCUAGCACAAGGGCUUGUAACUUGGUCGUGUGACCUAAGUCAGAGAGUUACACGGGUACAGACACGGGCUGAGACACAGCCGUGUGCUCAUUUCGAAUGCCACACGGCCUAAGAGACGGCCUAAGGCACGAGUGUGUCUCUUGGCCGUGUGAGCCACACGGCCUAACCACACGGGCAUGUGUACCCUGCACUUUGGAAAAAUUUUGAGAUUUUACGAAAAAUUCUCUGAGUACCUGGCUUAGUCUCGACUUG
rnacentral:lncRNA from 1 species